rnacentral:rRNA from 1 species
GGAAGAAUUAGGGUUCGAUUUCGGAGAGGGAGCAUGAGAAACGGCUACCACAUCUAAGGAAGGCAGCAGGCGCGUAAAUUACCCAAUCCUGACUCAGGGAGGUAGUGACAAGAAAUAGCAAACCGGGAACCUCAUGGUUUCACGGUAUUGCAAUGAGAACAAUUUAAAACCCUUAGCGAGAAUCAAGUGGAGGACAAGUCUGGUGCCAGCACCCGCGGUAAUUCCAGCUCCACUAGCGUAUAUUAAAGUUGUUGCAGUUAAAAAGCUCGUAGUUGAACCUCUGUCUGGGGCUAGUUUUGGCUUUGGUCAGGCUAGUUCUAGGCAUCCGCCUACAAGACUUAGAGGGCAUUCAGUUGUUCACUAGGAGGAGUAGGCAUUUUACUUUGAAAAAAUUAGAGUGUUUAAGGCAGGCAAUCGCCCGCAUAUAUUAGCAUGGAAUAAUAGAAUAGGACACUUUUCCAUUUCGUUGGUUAUUGGAAUCGUGUAAUGAUUAAUAGGGACAGUUGUGGGCAUUUGUAUUUAAUUGUCAGAGGUGAAAUUCUUGGAUUUAUUAAAGACAAACUAACGCGAAAGCAUUUGCCAAGGAUGUUUUCAUUAAUCAAGAACGAAAGUUAGGGGAUCAAAGACGAUCAGAUACCGUCCUAGUCUUAACUAUAAACUAUUCCGACUCAAUGUUUGACUGGCUUAUAUAACCAGUUGAGCGUUGUAUGAGAAAUCAAAGUCUUUAGGUUCUGGGGGGAGUAUGGUUGCAAAGCUGAAACUUAAAGGAAUUGACGGAAGAGCACAACCAGGAGUGGAUUCUGCGGCUUAAUUUGACUCAACACGGGGAAACUUACCAGGUUAAAACAAUAGUGGGAUUGACAGUUUGAGAGCGCUUUCUUGAUUGGUUGGGUGGUGGUGCAUGGCCGUUCUUAGUUGGUGGAGUGAUUUGUCUGCUUAAUUGCGUUAACGAACGAGACCUUAACCUGCUUACUAGACUGGCGAUCAUCAAUCGUUAGCUCUUCUUAGAGGGACUUUGGUUGUUUUAACUCCAAGGAAGUUUGAGGCAAUAACAGGUCUGUGAUGCCCUUAGAUAUCCUGGGCCGCACGCGUCAUACAAUGACUAGUUCAGAAAGUUUUCUCCUGACCCGAAAGGGGAUGGGUAAUCUUGAUAAUACUAGUCGUGUUAGGGAUCGAUCUUUGCAAUUAUAGAUCUUGAACGAGGAAUUCCUAGUAAGUGCGGUUCAUCAGACCGUACUGAUUACGUCCCUGCUCUUUGUACACACCGCCCGUCGCUUCUACCGAGUGGGUGGUCCGGUGAGAUAAUUGAACUUCGCAGGUAACUGAGAGGAAAGAUUAUCAAACCUAUCCACCUCGAGGAAGAAGAAGUCGUAACAAGGUU